GGUACACUUAUCGGUAGUCCAUAAUUGCCUUUUCAUGUAUUCACCAGUUGCUCAUCCUGCUGAGUAUAGCAUUUAUUGCUCCUGUUCAGCAACUGGAUUGAAGUACAGGACAGCAAGAAGAAAGAUGUGGAUCUAUUGAUAACUUACCUGGUUGUUUUG